GCGGCGGUGGUAUAGGGGUUGUGCCCGAGUCUUCCACACUCGUGAGGUCAGUUCGAAUCUGAUCCGCCGCUCCA
rnacentral:tRNA from 1 species